UAAUCCCUAAAGUUCAAAUUUUUUUCAUUUCUUCUUUGCCCCCUUUGAACCCCUGACGGUUGCCUCACUCUCUUUGCUCCUCUCUCUCUCUCUCUCUCUCUCUCUCUCUCUCUCUCUCUCUCUCUCGGCCUCCCCGAAUUGCCUUAAGCUUCCCAACCCCAGCCAAUCCCAUGGGCCAUAACCCACAACCUUUUAAAGCAGCUCAAUGGAGAGCCAAAAUUUCUUUCUUUUCCUGCUUUCCUGAAGUAAGGCAAAGAUUCCAAGUCUCUCAAGGAGGAGAUGCUUGAAGCCAUUACGCCUUUGGAUUGUGGAGUAGAUUCCACUGUCGAAGACCAGCAAAGUUGAUCUAGUUGGAUUGAAUUCUUUUUCUACUCUUACAUUUGAGAAAGCAGACCAGUGGAAGCUACCCUCUGCAACGACAACAACUUCAAAGCUUUUUGCCCUGGUCAGUGUUCCCAUGAUCCCAUGAUUACAACUCUCUCAUCAUGCUUCUUUCCUUCCAGUUUGAUAACAUCAGUUAUUUAUAUCUAUUGCCAACUUCUAGAGUGCUUGUUUUCUACUUUUUAUGUUUUCUGGUUUCAUUAGAGGUCAUGAUAAAUGCUUAUGAGUUAUCACCAAAGCAUGGGAACCGGUCAUUUCUAAACUGAUUAGGUGGCAUAGACUAGGCCAAAACUUAACUUAAUUGAUCUUCUAACACAAGUGAAAACGUUUUUUUAUCACUAAAACGUACCCUUUUUGCUCCUUUUAUCCCUUUCAUCUUCUAACACAAGGAAGUUUGUGGAUAUCAUUUAGUAAACUCUGAUCAACAUGGAAGAUGCUUUGAGAAGCGUUAGUAAACUCUGACCCAAUUUACUGAUUUUUUUUUCUUAAAGCAUUUCAUACUUUCUGAAGAGCAUGAGCACCUCUUUCCAAGAAUAUGAUGAUGUUUCCUCCUCUAUCUCCCUGCUGGAGAAAAGAAUUUUCAAGAAAAAUGUUUGCCUUAGAAUUUCUUAGUUUGUUCUGCAUAGCCAGAAUUUUGCUUUCCUUUUUAAUGGUUUUUACAUGUAUGAUAACAAUGAGUUUUGUAUGGCUAUAUUAACUUGAGCAUUUUUUAAAAGGUGAGGAUUCGGUCUUGGAUGAAAUUGUGUGAACAAAAUAGGCUAGGUAUCCUUUGAUGGAAGAGUCGUUGUAGUUGAGGAUGAUUCACAUGCUAUAAGUAGGAGUGAGCAAAGCAUGUCAAAUCAAAUUUUUAUGUUGUUGUAAUGUGAAAUCGAAUUGAUCAAUUAAUUAUGAUGAUUCUACUCGAGGGAUCAAAUAAUAUAGCAUAAAUUUGUGAUUAGAUAAUAUAGCAUCAUCUAUGUGCAUGCUAAAUAUGCUUUGAGAUUUUGACAAUAUUUAGCUGUUUGCAAGUUGAGAGUCCCCGGAUGCUGCAUUCAUUGCAAAAGAAUGUGGCAGCUAUUGGAGUUGCACUCCAGGCUUUGUACUAGUUAUGAUGUUUGUAGGGUGCCUUUUGCGCAGGAUUUUUAAAACUUGACAGUUACAGAUUUCUCUGAUUGUCAAUUUCUAACAAGCAUCUCAGACCUUUCAUUUGAAGGAUAAGACUCAUUUAGUUGGAGUUCACCAUUCUAUUGGAUUGCUCGAUGAGCUUGUUCCUUUCAAUCUUAAUCAAUGCAAUAGCCUUAGGAAUCUUCCCAGAAGGCUGAAGUUGAGAUCUUUAAAAUCACUUGACCUUGAAGAUUUUUCAAGCCUUCAAAGCGUUCUUGAAUUUGAUUGUUCAAUGGAAACUUUAGAAUACAUUAACCUUUCCUACUCUGCUUUCAAAGAAAUAUCUCCAUCCAUUGGGCAUCUCACUGGGCUUCGGGUUUUAUAUUUAGGAGGUUGCCAAAACCUUAUGCAUAUCUCAAAUUACAUUCUUCAAUUACAGCAGAUAAAGAUGCUUUCUCUUGGAGCUUGAAUAUGAAAGAAGGUGGAGGGUAAAGGAUAGUGUAGUAUGCAUUUUGCUUUGUCUACAAAUGAAUAUGAAACUUCAUCAAGUGGAGAAUCACUCUCAUUGCCACAUUUGAAUCAAAAUCAGGUCUCUUUAAGGCAGUAUAGUACUUUGGUAGUUUGAAAGAUACUAUUAGUCUUCCCACAUCCAUCAAAAGUGUUGUUGGAUUAAAGCACCUUGUGUUGACGGAUUGCCUGCAACUUUAAGGAAUUCUAGAGCAUCGAUCCAAUAUAGAGCAGGUGUGCUAAUGGAUCAAUGGAUCUUAUUGGAAAGCUUUCCAGAAUAUAAAAAAAGUUCCAAUACAAAAUCAGCAACUUAAGAGCACUUGGAUAGAUUGAAUUGCUCAAAUGUCAUGACAUGGACAUCUAAAUGACUAUUUGGCCAUUAUUCUUUCAGGAGAUACGAUUCCUGAGUGGUUUAACCACUGUAAGGAAGCUUCAAAUAAUACUGAAUCAUGUGAAAUAGAUAUCGAUGGGAGUGAUCUAUAUUUGGAUGAGCUAAGAGGAAUAGCUCUUUGUGCUGUUAUUAAAGCAGAUUCUGAAAGAUCUGCAUUUGAUCUCUUCCAUUUUCUAGUGUUGUUGAGAUCACUAUUAACAUGCGCACAAAUAAUAUAAUAGCUCGUUGUGCUGUUAUCAUAGGGAGUACUAAUUUGCUCUAGAGGCUUUUAAGCCAGACGAGAAAGGUCUGAAAUGUUGAGUUUUCUUGUAAUUCAAGCUCAUUAUACAUUAAAAGUUGCGGAGUCCAUUUGGUAUGUAAGCAUGUAGAGAACACAAAAGAUCAUUUAGAUGUCCUCUACCUAUGAAUAUGAUUACGACUUAAAUCUGACUGCCAUUGACAACACAACAUGAAUGACCAUUCUAAGUUUUUCUUCAUUCAUUACCCAAAAUGCUUGUUUUGUUCUUUUUUAACUUUCAAAUCUCUCACCCAAAACUUUAAAAUAUACAAAGCUAGUUUUGAUCUUCAAAUUGGACCCUAUAAUAAUUCCUACUUUGUGUUGGCAUGCAUAUUAAUUAUGUAUACAAAAUACUAAAAAAAACAUGCACUCUUUAUUUUUCCUUUUUUCUUAGGAAUAUUGCUUGUCAUAUAUACCACCAUUUGCUCAGAAACACACAGCUUGGUCUUGGGCCCUUGGCCAUUUUCACUUAGGAUGGUGAAAGCUAAUUAGUCUAACUUUAGUUUAGACAGGUGAUGUGACCUUCAAGGAGCAUGAUCUCGAAGAUAUUGUUCUAGACUAAGAUCAAAGAUUAGGGAGGUUCAACUAGAUCUACAAAUUGCCUUCAAGGAACUUGUACCAUAACCAAUAGAGGGUUGAUCCUACAGGACUUUAAUUCAUUUUGAGCAUUUUAUUUCAGCAUGCUUUUGGUUCUAAAUAAUUAUAAAAUGUUUCAUCUAUUGAUUUUA